ACAAUUCUCUAGGGAGGCUCAUUAUAAUCAGCAGCGGGAACGUCAACCGAGCUGUGGUGUCCAUUUUUUUAAAACGGAUACCUACACUCUCUGUGUUCGUUUCCUGGCAUGUGUUUUAUGGCAUCAACAUCAAUGCAACGUGUAGCGUCUGUGUGUGUAUGUGCUUUUCAACAUUAAGAAGACCAUGCGACAAGCGACAAAUUCCGAAUCUUGGCUCUUUGUCUCGUCGUCAUCGUGGUAUAGGGCAAACGCAUCUCAUAGAGAGGUAUCUCACGAUCUGAUUGCUUACUGCCUUGAAUUCUUAAAAGACGAGAAACCAGCAUCGAAAUAAACAGGGAUCAUUUCGUUCGCACAUGCGUACUGAAAAUCCAAAAUCUCUCCGUUGGUCGACAUCCCACUGUUUAGGCUCUGGCCUAGGGCUAAACGGCAAGUCCAGUUCAUGACGUCAUUUCACUGUAAAACCACUCGUUUUUUCUUUUUUGUUUAUCCUUUUCCAGCUACGAAAUGCCCUUCCUUGGUUACCGUCGUUUCUUUCUGACCGGCAGAGAUACGGCAGCAGGUGAAACACGAAAUGCGAUAAUUGGGAGGAAACAGGUUAUGCUGUGGCAACAAACAAAACUCGCACGCACUGCUGGGUUCUUCUGACAACUUGGCCGUUGGGCUAUUGAAUCGUCUUCACCUUGGGCAUGGAAGAAAAGAUCAUUAGAAACACGUUUCUUUUCUCUUGUGUUCUAAAUAGGCAACAGGCGAAACUCUCUGCAAUACUGAACCAUCUGUUUGAUGACUAUAGCUUUUUGGGUGGAGGACCCGCAGGUGAUGGGCGUGAAGAGAAUAAGAUAAAAUAAUAAUAGAGGUACUUUUUUAUUGAUUGGAUGAGAGAACAUGAUCAUAUAUUGCGGUUAACCAACGAUUCGCUCAAGGCUCACGAUCGUGAAGGGUUACGAGUAUGAAAAGAGUUAACGAAACGAUCAUUGUUGCUAGCACAACACGAUGCUGGUCUUGCGAAAUGUCUCCUGCCAAAUGAAAUAACCCUAAAAAAUGAUGAACCAACAAAGACAAUGUAUUUUCAUUCUCUAACCAUGCGAAUAAUCAAGACUGGCGUUGCUAUUGUUUCCUUUUUGUUUUGUUUUUUCAUCCUUCUGCGAAAUCCUGAUACAGUAAUUUUACCAUCGAUUUAUGACAAUAAAAAUACCCAAACGAAAUGAUAACACAAUGA